UAUUAGGUUGGUGCAAAAGAAAUCAGUUUUUGCCAUUAUUUUCUAUGGCAAAAACUGUAAUUACUUUUGCACCAACCUAAUA
ensembl:miRNA